GACGAACGCUGGCGGCGUGCUUAACACAUGCAAGUCGAACGGAAAGGCCCUGCUUGCAGGGUACUCGAGUGGCGAACGGGUGAGUAACACGUGGGUGAUCUGCCCUGCACUUCGGGAUAAGCCUGGGAAACUGGGUCUAAUACCGGAUAGGAGCCAUUUUUAGUGUGAUGGUUGGAAAGUUUUUUCGGUGUAGGAUGAGCUCGCGGCCUAUCAGCUUGUUGGUGGGGUAAUGGACUACCAAGGCGGCGACGGGUAGCCGGCCUGAGAGGGUGGACGGCCACAGUUGGACGUAGAUACGGCCCAGACUCCUACGGGAGGCAGCAGUGGGGAAUAUUGCACAAUGGGCGCAAGCCUGAUGCAGCGAAGCCGCGUGGGGGAUGACGGCCUUCGGGUUGUAAACUCCUUUCGCUCGGGACGAAGCUUUUUGUGACGGUACCUAGAUAAGAAGCACCGGCUAACUACGUG
rnacentral:rRNA from 1 species